rnacentral:rRNA from 1 species
AGGUUGAUAGGUCAGAAGUGGAAGCGUGGCGACACGUGGAGCGGACUGAUACUAAUCGGUCGAGGACUUAUCCUAUA